rnacentral:rRNA from 1 species
GGAGGAGGCUAGCGUUGUUCGGAAUUACUGGGCGUAAAGCGCGCGCAGGCGGCUUUGCAAGUCAGGGGUGAAAGCCCGGGGCUCAACCUCGGAACUGCCUUUGAGACUGCAAGGCUCGAGACCGGGAGAGGAGAGUGGAAUUCCCAGUGUAGAGGUGAAAUUCGUAGAUAUUGGGAAGAACACCGGUGGCGAAGGCGGCUCUCUGGCCCGGACCUGACGCUGAGGCGCGAAAGCGUGGGGAGCAAACAGGAUUAGAUACCCUGGUAGUCCACGCUGUAAACGAUGAGUGCUAGACGUUGGGGGGCUUGCCCCUCGGUGUCGCAGCUAACGCUUUAAGCACUCCGCCUGGGGAGUACGGCCGCAAGGUUAAA